UCUCUCUCUCUCUCUCGCUCUCUCUCUCUCUCUCUCUCAGAGAGAGAGAGAGAGAGAGCGAGAGAGAGAGAGAGA
rnacentral:miRNA from 1 species